UAUGACCCAUUAUACCCCUUCUGAGCAUUCAUCUGAAGGAAAAUGAAUCAGUACAUAAGAAAGGGACCUGCAUAUUCAUGUUAAUUACAACUCUGUUCACAAUAGAAACUGCCUAAUCAGCUGUGCUGAAAAAAUCCAAUAAAUGGACCGAAAAACCUAUGAGGUGUACAUAUACUACAGAAAAUUACUGAGUCAUAAAUGAAAAUAGUACUAUGUAAUUUGCAGGAAAAUGAACAAAACUGGAAACCACCAUGUUCAAUGAGAUAAGUCAAGCUUAAAAAGCCAUGCAUUAGCCUGGUAUCAGUGGCUCAUGCCUAUAAUCCUAGCUACUCAGGAGGCUGAUUGUGGUUCAAAGCCAGCCUGGGCAGCAAAG